GGGAAGAAAAGUCAGUAGAGAAGGUAGGCAGUGCUUGCAAAGGCCUGAGUCUGAGGUACUUCUUUAUAGCACUGCAAGAAUGGACUAAUACGCUAUGUGAAGACAAAGGGGAUGUCUGCAAGCCAGGACGAGUGCGUCUACCAGAAACUGAGUUCUGCUGGACUUUGAUCUAGGACAUCCAGCCUCCAGAAUGGAAUGUGCCAUAUGUGGAGACCUGCAUGGAAAGGAACUGAGGAUGCUCUCUCACUAAAAGCUAGAAGGAACUGAGGCCCUCAGUCAACAGUCUACAAGACACUGAAUCUUGCCAGCAGCCAAGCAGUGAGCUUGAAAGCAGAUCUAUCAUCAGCUGAACCUUCAGAUGAGACCGCAGCCUAAGCAGAUACCUUGGUUGCAGCCAUGUGAGACAACCUGAAACAGAGGGCACAGCUAAGCCUCAGCCAGGUUCAUGACCCUCUGAGGAAACUGUGAGAAAGCAAAUGUCAUUUUAAGCUAUUUAAUUUUGGAGGUAGUUUAUUACACAACAAUAAAUAACUAUUAUAAUUAUCUUGAGGAUUUAUUUCCUGGGGAGAAUACAUGGAAUUGCAUAUAUAGGUCCUCAUAUGCAGAAUACUGGUACCCUAGAGAUGUUCACCCCAGAGAUGUUUUAGGAACCUGUGAAUAUGUUACAUUAAAUGGCAAAGUUUUCCUGGAUGGUUUAAGUUUAAGAUGGAAAAGUUUUACUGGAUUAUCCAGUGGGUCCAAUCUAGUAACAUGAGUCCUUAAAAAUGGAGAAUAUUUUUUGGCCAUGAUCAGAGAGACAUGUGAUGAUGGAAAAAGUGUCAGAGAUGCAAUGUGAGGGGACUAAAACUGCUGUUGCUGACUUUAAAGAUGGAGAGAGGGGAACCCGAGUCAAGGAAUGCAAAUGGCCUCUGGAAGCUGGAAAAAGCAAGAAAUGGAUUCUCCUUUAGAGCCUGUGGAAUAAAAUGCAGUCAUGCUGACACCUUGAUUUUACCUCAGUGAGACCAAUACUGGAGUAUGACCUUCGGAGCUGAAUAAAAUUAUACGUACACAUCUUAAUUUCUUGGGAUUUGAUUACUUCUUCUGCUUUGAAAUUAGACCAAGUUUAGCCUGCCUUUGCUAUUUUGGCGUAUCUCCAAUUCUUCAUGAUUUUCUCAUCGCAAAGGCCACAUAAGGACAGUGAGAAGGCAGCCACCUGCAAGCCAGGAAGAAAGGUCUCACCAGAUACCAACCCUGCCAGCAUGUUGAUCUUGGACUUCCAGCCUCCAAAACUGGCCUUCUGCUCACAUGGGCUUCCGUGCACCUGCUUCAGGAGACAGCAACACUUGCGCCCGCACCGCGGCAGGCUCCCAUCACCUGGUGGAUAUGCCGCGCCGAGUCUCAUCACACCUUAGUGAAGGAACACAUGGACCCAUAUGUUAGCGGAUGUAUUUACAUCGUUUUAUACAGAAAGGGGAAGAAAACUGCAUACCUCAGAAAGGGGUUGCUCCUCACUCUGAGUACUAGACUAAAGAUAAAAAGACUAGAUAAAAGUACUAGACUAAAGACAGAGCUGACCCAUGACAGAUGGAGUCUUGCUCUGUCACACAUGCUAGAGUCCAGUGGUAUGACCUCAGCUCACUGCAAUCUCUGCCUCCCGGGUUCAAAUGAUUCUUCUGCCUUGACCUCCCUGGCAGCUGGGACUACAGGCCUGCACCACCACGCCUGGCAAAUUUUUUAAUUUUUUUUAGUAGAGAUGGGGUUUCACCAUGUUGGCCAGGCUAGUCUCGAACUCCUGACCUCAAAUGAUCUGCCCGCUUUGGCCUUCCAAAGUUCUGGGAUUAUAGGAGUGAGCCACCAUGCCCAGCCUGUUCUUAAGUCUCCUAGAACAGGGAUUCUGAAACACAAAACUCAUCUGUUUACGCACUGAGAGCAUCUAAAGAAUUUGAAUGAGGAGCAAAGCUUUUUCAAAGGUUGGAUUAAACUACAAUUGUCCUCUCCAAAGAAUGUUCAGCUAUCCUUUAUGUACUCUGUUGCAAGUAUUUCAAGAAGGAGGUGAGAAUAUAUGAGGUUCACGUAGCAGCAAAGGAACUACAUGGUAGAAGAGGGCACCUUUUUUCCAACAUCUCUUUAUGCUAAUGUUGUACAUCUGCAAGAUGCAAGAAGAGGACAAGAGCCUAUUUUUGUAGCAUUCUUGAGUCAAGAGCUUCCAUGAAAAGCUUUAAGUAGCAACAAGCCUGCCAUUGAAAAAGAAAUAUUUGGUUUGGAAUUUGAGAUUGUUAAAAAUCAUUAUAGAAUGCAUGUUCUACUGUGAAAUAAACUGAUAAAUGAAUAGUAUGUUGGGGCAGCCCCUGAAAGGUCAUUUACACUACCUAGAUGCUUUAUAGUUAAGGAAAGUAGGUCCAGAGAGGGGAAAUGAUCUGACCAUGGUUUCAAAGUUAUUUAGUAAGAAAUAGAAUGAGGAGUAGUUCUCCUGACAUUUAGAUAAUAGGACCACCAUAGAAAGGUGGUUUUAUGAUUCCAUUAAGAUUUGGAUCAUUUUUUUCAAGGCUUUGAAAGUGAGUGGUAAAAUUUCUAUUUUCAUUAUCUCUGGAGCAGUAUACUAGAGUAUACCAGAUAUAUAAAAAAGCCUUUCAUCUAAAAGGUAAAUGAACAAAUUCCCCCCAAACCAAUGAAUAAUAUAUAAAAUGAAACUUCAGAAUACACCAUCAAAGUGGCAAGAAAAUAAGAAAUCUUAAGAGGAAUAAAAAACUUAAAAAGUUAAAGCAAGAAUCUAGGAAAUUAAGCUAGUAUAAUUUUAAGGCAAAAAUGAAAGAAAAUUAUAAAGGAUGGUAUACUAUUUAUUUAUGCUGAUCACUGAAUAGUCUCAACUCUCUGACUUCUUGGCCCAUAGUAAGAUUGUACUGCCUGGAUUCCCAUGUGACCAAUUCUGGCCAGUGUCUUGUGAGAGAAACUAAUGUGUCUCUCUGGCUUUGGGCUAAGCAUUUAAUUGUCAGUGAGAUCCUCCAGUGCUUGUUUUCUCUCUAGUAGGAUGAUUGACAAUAUUCCACAUAGCAUUUUCUUCCACAUUUUCUGGUAUAUCAUACCACGUGUGAUAUGAUUUGGCUGUGUCCCAACCCAAAUAUCAUCUUAAAUUCCCACCUGUUGUGGGAGGGAUCUGUUGGGGGGUAAUUGAAUCAUGGGGGCAUGACUUUCCUGUGCUGUUCUUAUGAUAGUGAAUAAGUGUCAUAAGAUCUGAUGGUUUUAUAAGGGGGAGUUUCUUUGUACAAGCUCUCUUCCCUUGUCUGCCACCAUGUGAGAUGUGCCUUUUACCUUCUGCCAUGAUUGUAAGGCCUCCCCAGCCAUGUGGGACAGUAAGUCAUUAAAUCUCUUUCUUUUGUAAAUUGCCCAGUCUUGGGUAUGUUUUUAUCAGCAGUGUGAAAGUGGACUAAUACAACAUGGGAAUUAUGGGAGCUACAAGAUGAGAUUUGGGUGGGUACACAGAGCCAAACCAUAUAAAUAAUCUUCUCAGUAGAUGUGAAAUAAAUACUAUUAUUAUUUCCACUUCAUGAAAAAACUGAAGAAGCGCAAAAGCUUUAAGUAAUUUGCUUCAAGGUCACAAAGUUACUAAAUUACAGAACUAGCAUUAUUGUCAGUAAGAAGGAAAAUUACCCCUAUUGUAAAGUCUAAUAUGCAAUGGCAUGACAUAUGAAGAUACUAAUAUAUAUGAGGAUAUACCUAAAUUUCAGAAUGACGACACAAAACUACCAAAUAAUAAUGAUUAGAGAAGUUAUGAAAAUGAAAUAGAACUAAAACCCUCAGCAAAAAUAGUAUAUAGUUUGGAAAAGGAUGGAGAUUAGAUGUUCAAGUGUUGUAAGCUUCUCCCAGUGUUCAAAAGUAGAGCAAAUAUAUAAAUUUUUAUUUUAUUUUGUUUUAUUUCAUUUUAAGACAGCAUCACAGUGGUGCAAUCAUGGAUUAGUGCAGCCUCAACUUCCCAGGCUCAAGCAAUCCUCCUGCCUCAGCCUCCUUCGAUAAUUUUAAACUUUGUAAAAUAUUUGGCAAAAUAUUUAUAAGUGGCCACUACAAAGUCAGCUAAAAAGUGUAUACUCUCCAACUGGAGAAGAUUAGAGAAUUAAUAAUAGAGAAAAGACUGAAUCAAUUUAAAGGGAGACAAGAACGUGGGAAAAAAUGGAAAAAGCAAGACAAAUAAAAAUUAGGUGGUAGAAAGUAGAAUUAGUAAUUUCCAUUGAUGUAAGUGGACUUACUCUUUAUUUACAACACAGAAAUUUUGAAUGAGUAACUUGAUAUCAAAAUUAAAAAUAGUGGAAGUAAUAAGAAAUACAUAUUAUUUCUAUUCAUGUUAAAAUUUUUAACAUGGUAUUAGCAAAAAUAAAUGAACAAUCUAAAAAUGUAUAAUACAUUAUGAAUGUUUAGAUUCUCCAGGACUGCAAGGUAGGUUUAAUAUUAAAAAACCAAUUAGUAUAAAUUAAUUUUAUUAGCAUAUGAUUACAAAAGAAAAAUGCAUGACCUUCUCAACGGGUAUAAAAGAAGCAUUCACUGACAUUCAAUAUCCAUGCUUGAUAAAAUUUACGGUAAACUAGAAUCAGAAGUGAUAUUUAAUAAGUACAUGUUGAAAUACAUAGAAGAUGCCAUGUCCUGAAUGUUUGUGUCUUCCCAAAAUUCUAUGUUGAAAACAUAGUCACCUGUAUGAUUGUGUAAGAAGGUGGGUUCUUUUGAGAGGUGAUUAGGUCAUGAGGGUAGAAUCCUCAUGGAAAAGACUAGUGCCAUUAUAAAAGAGGCCCCAGAGACCUGCCUUUCCCCUUUCACCAUCUGAAGACACAGUUAGAAGGCAUCUUCUAUGACCCAGAAAAUUGGUCUUCAUGAGACAUUGACUCUGCUGGCACCUUGAUCUUGGACUCUCCAGCCUCCAGAACUGGGAGAAAUAAAUUUCUGUUGUUUACAUGCUACCCAGUAUAUAGUUUUUUGUUAUAGUAGCCUGAAUGGACUAAGACAAAAGACAAAAAUGCUCACCAUAACUACUUAUUUUCAAUAAUUUUCUGGAAGUCCAAAGCAAGAAGAAGAUAUAAAAGUUAGAAAUACUUUUAUAGAAGAUAGAAAAGUUAGAAAAGGACAGCAUAAUGUUGCUGUUAUUAUUCACAUAUACAUUGUUUCCAUAUAAAAUGUAAAGCAUGUACUGAUAAACUACUAGACUUGAACAGGAAACUUUGCAAUGUUGAUCAAAACAAUAGCUCUAUAUAAAAUUCAAUUUGCAUUCCCAUGCCUAAUCAAUGAGAAUUAGAAAAUUUAAUGCAAAAAUGAUAUUAUUUACAAUAACAGCAAAAAUACAAUGUAUUCACCUCUCCAUUCACAUGUAUACUUAUAAGAAGAAAUAAAAGAAAGAUUUUUAUGACAUAAAGAAAAAUUAUAAAACUUAAUAACAUUAAAAGAGAUUUAAACCAAUGGGAAGGUAAGGUAUACCACGUUCAUAAACAGAAAGAGUCCAGUAGUUUAAAGCUACCAAGUUCUCUCUUAAAACUUAAGUCAAAAACUUACCAAGACUUUUGUACAACUUGACAAAUUAAUUCUAAAAUUCUAAAUUGAUUCUAAAAUUUUUGUGAAGGAGGAAGAGCUAACAACAGCCAAAACACCCCUGAAGGAAUGGGAGGAGAAAGCAGAAAACAUGUCCUAUUGGAUGUCAAGAUCUUUGCAUAAAGCACUUUAGUUAGAAAUGCAAUUUUGACUUAAAGAUAGAAAAAUAAAUCAAUUAAAUCAGAAGAGAAUUAGCAAAAACAGACCCACAAAUAUAUGGAAAUGAUAUAUAAUAAAACUUACAGUACAAAUAAUUGUGUAAAGGAAAGACAACUUAAUGAUACUAGAAAAAUAGUUAUUUAUAUAAAAAAUUAAAUUAGAUUUCUCUCUGUGUAUAAAAAUCUAUUCCAGUUAAAGUCUUAAAUUUGAAAGUGAGUCAUUUUAGAUUUUAUUUUAAUUUUAGAAGACAAUAUAGGAGAAUAUCUAUAUGACCUUUGGGUGGAAGAAAAUUUUAUAACCAAGACACAGAAGUGCUUUCAUAACAUAAAUUUGUA
ensembl:lncRNA LINC01748 long intergenic non-protein coding RNA 1748